UACAGAGGUCCCAAGCGUUGUUCGGAUUCACUGGGCGUAAAGGGUGCGUAGGCGGUCGGGUAAGUCUGAUGUGAAAUCUCACAGCUUAACUGUGAAACUGCAUUGGAUACUAUUCGGCUUGAGAGUUGGAGGGGGGACUGUAAUUCUUGGUGUAGCAGUGAAAUGCGUAGAUAUCAAGAGGAACACCAGUGGCGAAGGCGAGUCCCUGGACAGCUUCUGACGCUGAGGCACGAAAGCUAGGGGAGCAAACAGG
rnacentral:rRNA from 1 species